UCCGUGACGCAGCUAACGCAUUAAGUUUCCCCGCCUGGGGAGUACGGCCGCAAGGCUAAAACUCAAAGGAAUUGACGGGGACCCGCACAAGCGGCGGAGCAUGCGGAUUAAUUCGAUGCAACGCGAAGAACCUUACCAAGGCUUGACAUACACCGGAAACGGCCAGAGAUGGUCGCCCCUUUAUGGUCGGUGUACAGGUGGUGCAUGGUUGUCGUCAGCUCGUGUCGUGAGAUGUUGGGUUAAGUCCCGCAACGAGCGCAACCCUCGUUCUAUGUUGCCAGCACGUUAUGGUGGGAACUCAUGGGAUACUGCCGGGGUCAACUCGGAGGAAGGUGGGGAUGACGUCAAAUCAUCAUGCCCCUUAUGUCUUGGGCUUCACGCAUGCUACAAUGGCCGGUACAAAGGGCUGCAAUACCGUGAGGUGGAGCGAAUCCCAAAAAGCCGGUCCCAGUUCGGAUUGAGGUCUGCAACUCGACCUCAUGAAGUCGGAGUCGCUAGUAAUCGCAGAUCAGCAACGCUGCGGUGAAUACGUUCCCGGGUCUUGUACACACCGCCCGUCAAGUCAUGAAAGUCGGUAACACCUGAAGCCGGUGGCCUAACCCCUUGUGGGAGGGAGCUGUCGAAGGUGGGAU
rnacentral:rRNA from 1 species